CUGGGGUACUCGAGUGGCGAACGGGUGAGUAACACGUGGGUGAUCUGCCCUGCACUUCGGGAUAAGCUUGGGAAACUGGGUCUAAUACCGGAUAGGACCAUCGUUUAGUGUCGGUGGUGGAAAGUUUUUCGGUGUGGGAUGAGCUCGCGGCCUAUCAGCUUGUUGGUGGGGUAAUGGCCUACCAAGGCGUCGACGGGUAGCCGGCCUGAGAGGGUGUACGGCCACAUUGGGACUGAGAUACGGCCCAG
rnacentral:rRNA from 1 species